AUUGAACGCUGGCGGCAUGCUUUACACAUGCAAGUCGAACGGUAGGGUAGCAAUACCUGAGAGUGGCGAACGGGUGAGUAAUGCAUCGGAACAUGCCUAUUAGUGGGGGAUAGCCCGGCGAAAGCCGGAUUAAUACCGCAUACGAUCCAUGGAUGAAAGCUGGGGACCGCAAGGCCUGGCGCUAAUAGAGUGGCCGAUGUCAGAUUAGCUAGUUGGUGGGGUAAAGGCUCACCAAGGCGACGAUCUGUAGCUGGUUUGAGAGAACGACCAGCCACACUGGGACUGAGACACGGCCCAGACUCCUACGGGAGGCAGCAGUGGGGAAUUUUGGACAAUGGGCGAAAGCCUGAUCCAGCAAUGCCGCGUGCAGGAUGAAGGCCUUCGGGUUGUAAACUGCUUUUGUACGGAGCGAAAAGGCUUCCAUUAAUACUGGGGGCUCAUGACGGUACCGUAAGAAUAAGCCACGGCUAACUACGUGCCAGCAGCCGCCGUAAUAC
rnacentral:rRNA from 1 species